AUAUACUUUACAGACUGAAGGGGAUAUUCAGGUUGAAAAGUUUUAUCCGAUUUUUUCUAUUUACAAAGUGAUUGAGGGUUUGGGAGAGAGUUUGGGGAAUGUUAAAGGUUUGUUCCUCACUUGUCACUCCAGUGGUCGCGUUCCUCUCCCUGCAUUCCUACCCCGUCGUCCCCUCGGGAGAGGUCUGGAGUUGGAAACUGCCAAAAGGCGCAGGAAUGCUACCUGCCUUCUGCCAUCUCUCAUGCUCCUCUGUCCGCCUCUCAGGAUGGCACGGGCCCUGCUGCCCUCCAACCUAACCCUCUUUCUUAGGCCCACUUCCCCAGUUUCCCCACCAAAUGUUAUGACUCAAAAUGGCACUGGUUUCAUGAGAGGAUCCACCAUUUUGAGUGAUUAGGCCCCAAAUUUUCCUGCCAUCACAACACAAAAUAGUGACUGUGGUCUUCCGCCCUUCCCCUUUCCUGCUUUUUCGUCAGGCUCCUCCCCUGUGAUGUGCUCCACCCCUGGGUCGAGUACCGCCCUCAUGUUGGGACCCUCCCCUUCCAAUGGGAAGCCCCUCCCUUGUGCAGCCCCCGCCUCCUCCCAUCUGGCCCUUCCCAGUUCCCACGCUGGCAACAUGGGAGCUGGAAGUGAGGCUGACCAGAGGUAUCCAUCUUGGCUACCGAAGGCCCUGAGCAACAGGCCGUGCCAGCCAGCUGGAGCUCUCAUGCUUUUGCCAGCAGAUCUCCCUCUUCUCUGGAGGAGGACAGUGGUUCCUCAGAUUCAGGUAGUGAUUCUGAGGAUCACUGGGAAAGGGUAUGAGAGCAAGCCACUCGGGAGGAUGACUGGGAUACAUCUGGAAAGCAAAUCCAAGCAGCCCCAGUUAUAUUCAAAAGAGGAAGAACCGUAUCAUGAUCCAAGCAAGAAUCGUGAUAGGUUCAUGUGAUCUCAGAGUGCAGAAAGUAUUCGAGGGGACAACAGUUUAAUGACACAACAAAUGCACCUUUAUUGAGUGCCAACAACACUUGCGAUAGAGGAAAUGAGAAAGGAAAGGUAGGAUACAGAGCGAGGAAAGGGGGGCAGGGGUUAUAGCUACCAACAGCAGGGAAGUCCUUGUGGCGUGGCGUCCGGCCAAUGGAUCCGUCUUCUGUCCGUGGGGAGAUCUCAAAGUGUGAGUCGCGGGUGGAAGCUUUUAUAGCCAUUUCAGAAGCGGGGGGCACCCAGCCAAUGUGGGGGGAGCACCCGAGAGUCAUUAUGGUGAGACCCGUGGCUCUGGGAACCUGGUGCAGCCGCUCAGACCAGGCAGGUUUGGGCCAGGCAGGUCUGGGCCUGGCCGCUGGUAAGCACAGGCUGUCCAGCCGUCCAUUGUCUUCGUACAUGUUCCCAUGGGAGCCAGCCCUGGUCCAGUGGACACACCUGCAGUUCAGUGCUUGGCAAACACGUACCGUGGCUCAGGCCCAAGCCCCUUUCACACAGUGUCUUCCUUGACGGGGGUCCUUGUCAUCAAGUCGUGAGGCAAAACCAGGGACCCUCGGACCCUGACUCUCACAACGUACAAUUGACAAGUGGAGUACAACAGGGAUGAGACAGCAAAACCGAGUUGGCCUCUGUACUCACCACCAAGAUACACCUGCUAUGGUCAACUUUCCCCCUGUGUGGUUGCAAAAGCACGGCCUUGGUAGUCGGGACAUGUGGAGGGAGGGCGUAGACCUGUGCCCCUUGCAUCAGGCAUUUGAGAGGAGGGAAAGCUUGUACCUAGGAGCCACAGCAUGACAACACCUGACCUCCAAUCCAGCUGCAUGAAAGCAGUCUCCACCAAUGGGCAGCAAAGAAGAGUUGACUGACAGACUUUGGGAGCCACCAGGGUUGCCUGAUGCAACACCAAAGGCAUAAAAAGCAGAGCAGCCAUUUUGUAUAUGAGCUUGUGGCUGCCAGAUUGAAUCACCAACUCCCAGCGCGGUGUCCUUUUUCCUUAUUCAGUCCUUUGUUGUAUUUUGUUAAGGUUUUUAAUAAACCUUUGAAAAUUUUAAAAAUUGAGCAUCGUUUCUCACAUUCCCACAAGAGCCAAAAAUGCCUGAGCAGGUAGA